UACGGAGGAUGCAAGCGUUAUCCGGAUUUAUUGGGUUUAAAGGGUGCGUAGGCUGUUUGGAAAGUCAGGGGUGAAAGCCCGGCGCCUAACGCCGGAACUGCCUUUGAUACUUCCGAGCUGGAAUACGUAUGCCGUGGGAGGAAUGAGUAGUGUAGCGGUGAAAUGCAUAGAUACUACUCAGAGCACCGAUUGCGAAGGCAUCUCACGAAUCCGUCAUUGACGCUCAGGCACGAAAGCGUGGGGAGCGAAC
rnacentral:rRNA from 1 species